rnacentral:rRNA from 1 species
UACGGAGGGGGCUAGCGUUGUUCGGAAUUACUGGGCGUAAAGCGCACGUAGGCGGCUUUGUAAGUUAGAGGUGAAAGCCCGGGGCUCAACUCCGGAAUUGCCUUUAAGACUGCAUCGCUAGAAUUGUGGAGAGGUAAGUGGAAUCCCGAGUGUAGAGGUGAAAUUCGUAGAUAUUCGGAAGAACACCAGUGGCGAAGGCGACUUACUGGACACAUAUUGACGCUGAGGUGCGAAAGCGUGGGGAGCAAACAGG